CUCUUGAUGCCUCUACGGUUGAGAUUUUUGAAACACUCGACAUAGGAGAAGAGUGAUGAGAACGGCCUCUCUUUCAAUGAGGAUGAGGAAUUUGGUCUGUCCAAAAACAUUUUCUCUUACUUUCCUUAAGGUAACGCACUAGUGGGAUUAGGAUAUCCGAUAUUGUAUGACAAUUGAAGACCACUAUGGUUUAAAGUGGGCCGCAGUUUAUAAAUAGAAUCCAGUCAGAGCCCAAUAUGACUGUCAAAAGAAAUCAUCUUUCAUCGAAGCAAACUAUAAAGUCUAUAACCCCACUUUGACACUUUCCCUACUACACACAU